rnacentral:rRNA from 1 species
AUCUCUUGGUUCUGGCAUCGAUGAAGAACGCAGCAAAAUGCGAUAAGUAAUGUGAAUUGCAGAAUUCAGUGAAUCAUCGAAUCUUUGAACGCACAUUGCGCCCGCCAGUAUUCUGGCGGGCAUGCCUGUUCGAGCGUCAUUUCAACCCUCAAGCCCCCGGGUUUGGUGUUGGGGAUCGGCGAGCCCUUGCGGCAAGCCGGCCCCGAAAUCUAGUGGCGGUCUCGCUGCAGCUUCCAUUGCGUAGUAGUAAAACCCUCGCAACUGGUACGCGGCGCGGCCAAGCCGUUAAACCCCCAACUUCUGAAUGUUGACCUCGGAUCAGGUAGGAAUACCCGCUGAACUUAAGCAUA